rnacentral:rRNA from 1 species
UGGGGAAUAUUGGACAAUGGGCGAAAGCCUGAUCCAGCAAUGCCGCGUGAGUGAUGAAGGCCUUAGGGUUGUAAAGCUCUUUUACCCGGGAUGAUAAUGACAGUACCGGGAGAAUAAGCUCCGGCUAACUCCGUGCCAGCAGCCGCGGUAAUACGGAGGGAGCUAGCGUUGUUCGGAAUUACUGGGCGUAAAGCGCGCGUAGGCGGCUUUGUAAGUUAGAGGUGAAAGCCUGGAGCUCAACUCCAGAAUUGCCUUUAAGACUGCAUCGCUUGAAUCCGGGAGAGGUGAGUGGAAUUCCGAGUGUAGAGGUGAAAUUCGUAGAUAUUCGGAAGAACACCAGUGGCGAAGGCGGCUCACUGGACCGGUAUUGACGCUGAGGUGCGAAAGCGUGGGGAGCAAACAGG